rnacentral:rRNA from 1 species
UACAGGGGGGGCAAGCGUUGUUCGGAAUUACUGGGCGUAAAGGGCUCGUAGGCGGCCAACUAAGUCCGACGUGAAAUCCCAAGGCUUAACUUUGGAACUGCGUCGGAUACUGGAUGGCUUGAAUUCGGGAGAGGGAUGCAGAAUUCCAGGUGUAGCGGUGAAAUGCGUAGAUAUCUGGAGGAACACCGGUGGCGAAGGCGGCAUCCUGGACCGGUAUUGACGCUGAGGCGCGAAAGCUAGGGGAGCAAACGGG